CGUGCCGUGAGGUGUUGGGUUAAGUCCCGCUAGCGAGCGAAACCCCUGUCCUUAGUUGCCACCACGUCUUGGAGGGCACUUUAUGGAGACCGCCGGCUGCAAGGCCGUAGGAAGGGAGCGAUGACGUCUAGUCCUCAUGGCCCUUAUGGCUGGGGUUGCACACGUGCAUACCAUGGGGCGCACACUGCGUUGCUGACGCGCACGCGCAAGCUAAUCACGAAAAUCGCCCCAUCUAGUUCGGAUUGCGGGUUGCUCCCCGCCUCGCAUGAAUGCUGGAAUCGCUAUCAAUCGCGGAUCACCACUGCCGCUCUGAAUGAGGCCCUGAUACUU
rnacentral:rRNA from 1 species